GAGGAGUGGAAUCAGAAACCUGGACACAGAAGAGGAAAAGUGAGAAAACAUAUGCUUCUGAAUAAGAAAUGAGGAAAACAGCUGACGCUCAGCUUGACUGGAUUGGUGUAUUCUUGGUUUUGCUUCAAGUGAUCUUUCCACUAUUUCCAUU
rnacentral:lncRNA from 12 species